GCCUCGGUGGUGUAAUGGUCAAGACGCUCGCCUGGUAAACAGGAUGGAGGGCGUGGGUUCAAUCCCAGCCGAGGUA
rnacentral:tRNA from 1 species